GGUGAAGAAAGGGCCGGGCAAGACCGGUGCCAGCCGCCGCGGUAAUACCGGCGGCUCGAGUGGUGGCCACUAUUACUGGGCUUAAAGCGUUCGUAGCUGGUCUGUUAAGUCUCUGGGGAAAUCUACCGGCUUAACCAAUAGGCGUCUCAGGGAUACUGGCAGACUAGGGACCGGGAGAGGUGAGAGGUACUCCAGGGGUAGGAGUGAAAUCCUGUAAUCCUUGGGGGACCACCUGUGGCGAAGGCGUCUCACCAGAACGGCUCCGACAGUGAGGGACGAAAGCUGGGGGAGCAAACCGGAUUAAAUACCCGGGUAGUCCCAGCCGUAAACGAUGCGCGUUAGGUGUAUCGGUGACCACGAGUCACCGAGGUGCCGAAGAGAAAUCGUGAAACGUGCCGCCUGGGAAGUACGGUCGCAAGGCUGAAACUUAAAGGAAUUGGCGGGGGAGCACCACAACAGGUGGAGCCUGCGGUUUAAUCGGACUCAACGCCGGAAAUCUCACCGGAUAAGACAGCUGGAUGAUAGUCGGGCUGAAGACUCUACUUGACUAGCUGAGAGGAGGUGCAUGGCCGUCGUCAGUUCGU
rnacentral:rRNA from 1 species